rnacentral:misc_RNA from 1 species
AAGUCGUAACAAGGUUUCCGUAGGUGAACCUGCGGAAGGAUCAUUAUCACGUUAUCCACGUAUCAACCAUUUGUGAACCGUACUCUAACCUCUGGUCUUUUUUCGUUUGUGUUAUGCAAAUGGGGGAGGAUCAGAGCGUAUUAACCCUUUUUUACAUUAACCAUUCUAACCAAAUCUUUAUAACUUCAUGAACUAAUCUUUAUUUUAUACUCUUCGGAGAUAAAAUUCAUUACGAAACAAAGAACAACUCUUAGCAACGGAUAUCUUGGUUCUCGUAACGAUGAAGAACGCGC